UUUUGGGAAAAGUUGAAAGUGUUGUUCUUGACCAGAAAUCGUUGGCACAGGCACAUCGCUAUGUCUUACUUCAUAGUGAUAUAAUAUCCGAGUCUCGCAGAGAAUUUUUAAUAGCUCAGCGAAGUCUCAACCAUAACAUUCGUCCUACACCAAGGAUUGAGCAAUGAUGGUUGGUUGAAUUAUUUCCAGAAUGGCUUUUCAAACAGGUACCAGUGAUGAUGGAGAGGAAUUGUUCUGAGGAGUUAAUAGUCAUUGCUCGAGGUCCGAAUAAUAUUGUCAACAGAUAUGAUGGGUUCAUUAUAAAUGGUUUUAAAUUUCAUACUAAAGAGC